GAGGUUCCUGCGGGUGAGUCCCGUGUCUGCCACACUUCCAUCAAAGUUAAGCUGAGGCGCGGCCAGCAGCCCGCUCACACCUGCACAGACUCCCCAGGUGUGCUUCCUCUGUCCUUACCGCUCUCAGCCGCAUCGUGCUUCUGAAAUUCCGCAAGCAGGUCUGAGGAAUGAGCAAAUAAGUUUUGCCGCAGGGCUCUCAGGGCUGACUCCUCCACCCUGCUGAUCCUGGAACCCGAAGAGAAGAGGUUUGUGAAAAGCCGAGUCUAAGUUUGACUGAAUCAUUAAAGAAGGCUGUUCUGUAAACUGAAACCGGGCCUCUCAGGAAGUACUCGUUCCCCCUGAAGCCCUCCUCUCCAUGGGAGGCGAUAAUAAACAGUUGUUCAACCCAGGGACACCACCAUCAAACCAGCAGGGCGCAGACUGCCUCCCUCCCUUCAGAGUAGCUGCGCUGAGUUCUGUUUCUUAGGGAAUUCAUCUACCAACACGAAAUGGAUAAAACGAAAUAGGUGCAUUUCACAAACUCAGUGUGAGGUGAUGUAUGUAAAUUCUUUAUAACUCUCACCAUACAGUAAGUUCUCAUCUAGGU